rnacentral:rRNA from 1 species
AGUGAACGCUGGCGGUAGGCCUAACACAUGCAAGUCGAACGGCAGCACAGUAAGAGCUUGCUCUUACGGGUGGCGAGUGGCGGACGGGUGAGGAAUACAUCGGAAUCUACUUUUUCGUGAGGGAUAACGUAGGGAAACUACGCUAAUACCGCAUACGACCUACGGGUGAAAGCAGGGGAUCUUCGGACCUUGCGCGAUUGAAUGAGCCGAUGUCGGAUUAGCUAGUUGGCGGGGUAAAGGCCCACCAAGGCGACGAUCCGUAGCUGGUCUGAGAGGAUGAUCAGCCACACUGGAACUGAGACACGGUCCAGACUCCUACGGGAGGCAGCAGUGGGGAAUAUUGGACAAUGGGCGCAAGCCUGAUCCAGCCAUACCGCGUAGGUGAAGAAGGCCUUCGGGUUGUAAAGCCCUUUUGUUGGGAAAGAAAAGCAGCAGGUUAAUACCCCGCUGUUCUGACGGUACCCAAAGAAUAAGCACCGGCUAACUUCGUG